rnacentral:rRNA from 1 species
UGAGGAAUAUUGGUCAAUGGGUGCAAGCCUGAACCAGCCAUCCCGCGUGAAGGACGACUGCCCUAUGGGUUGUAAACUUCUUUUGUAUAGGGAUAAACCUACCCUCGUGAGGGUAGCUGAAGGUACUAUACGAAUAAGCACCGGCUAACUACGUGCCAGCAGCCGCGGUAAUACGUAGGGUGCAAGCGUUAAUCGGAAUUACUGGGCGUAAAGCGUGCGCAGGCGGUUCGGAAAGAAAGGUGUGAAAUCCCAGGGCUUAACCUUGGAACUGCACUUUUAACUACCGGGCUAGAGUACGUCAGAGGGGGGUAGAAUUCCACGUGUAGCAGUGAAAUGCGUAGAGAUGUGGAGGAAUACCGAUGGCGAAGGCAGCCCCCUGGGAUGAUACUGACGCUCAUGCACGAAAGCGUGGGGAGCAAACA